rnacentral:rRNA from 1 species
CCUACGGGAGGCAGCAGUAGGGAAUAUUGCUCAAUGGGGGAAACCCUGAAGCAGCAACGCCGCGUGGAGGAUGAAGGUUUUAGGAUUGUAAACUCCUUUUGUUAGAGAAGAUUAUGACGGUAUCUAACGAAUAAGCACCGGCUAACUCCGUGCCAGCAGCCGCGGUAAUUCGGAGGGUGCAAGCGUUACCCGGAAUCACUGGGCGUAAAGGGUGCGUAGGGGGGGUAAUAAGUCAGAUGGGAAAUCCUGUAGCUUAAAUACAGAACUGCAUUUGAAACUGUUACUCUGGAGUGUGGGAGAGGUAGGUGGAAUUCGUGGUGUAGGGGUAAAAUGCGUAGAGAUCAAGCAGAAUACUCAUUGCGAAGGCAGCCUGCUGGAACAUUACUGACGCUGAUGCACGAAAGCGUGGGGAGCGAACAGGAUUAGAUACCCGGGUAGUC